UACGUAGGGGGCAAGCGUUGUCCGGAAUCAUUGGGCGUAAAGCGCGUGUAGGCGGCUCGAUAAGUCUGCUGUGAAAGUCCAGGGCUCAACCCUGGGAUGCCGGUGGAUACUGUCGAGCUCGAGUCCGGAAGAGGCGAGUGGAAUUCCUGGUGUAGCGGUGAAAUGCGCAGAUAUCAGGAGGAACACCAAUAGCGAAGGCAGCUCGCUGGGACGUACUGACACUGGAGGCGCGAAAGCGUGGGGAGCGAACAGG
rnacentral:rRNA from 1 species